rnacentral:rRNA from 1 species
UACGUAGGGGGCAAGCGUUGUCCGGAUUUAUUGGGCGUAAAGAGCGUGUAGGCGGCCAGACAGGUCCGUUGUGAAAACUCGAGGCUCAACCUCGAGAUGUCGAUGGAAACCGUCUGGCUAGAGUCCGGAAGAGGAGUGUGGAAUUCCUGGUGUAGCGGUGAAAUGCGUAGAUAUCAGGAGGAACGCCGGAGGCGAAAGCGAGUGACUGGCGCGUUCCUGACGCUGAGGUGCGAAAGCUAGGGGAGCAAACAGG